rnacentral:rRNA from 1 species
AUCAUCUCCCCUCGAGUGGUGGAUAACUCUCCGAAAGGAGAGCUAAUACAGCAUGAGACCACGGCUUCGUUGAAGCUGCGGCCAAAGCAGCCCUCUACACGUAAGGUUGCGCUUGAGGAUGAGUCUGCGGCCCAUCAGCUAGUUGGUAGGGUAAUGGCCUACCAAGGCUAAGACUGGUAGCUGGUCUGAGAGGAUGAACAGCCACACUGGAACUGAGACACGGUCCAGACUCCUACGGGAGGCUGCAGUGGGAAUCUUGCGCAAUGGGCGAAAGCCUGACGCAGCGACGCCGCGUGAGCGAUGAAGGCCUUCGGGUUGUAAAGCUCUGUGGGGAGGAAAGAAUAAGGAUUGGCUAAUAUCCAAUCUGAUGACGGUACCUCCUUAGCAAGCACCGGCUAACUCUGUGCCAGCAGCCGCGGUAAGACAGAGGGUGCAAACGUUGUUCGGAAUUACUGGGCGUAAAGCGCGUGUAGGCGGCCCUGCAAGUCGGAUGUGAAAUCCCACGGCUCAACCGUGGAAGUGCAUUCGAAACUGCAGGGCUAGAGUCCUGGAGAGGAAAGUGGAAUGCUUGGUGUAGAGGUGAAAUUCGUAGAUAUCAAGCGGAACACCGGUGGCGAAGGCGGCCUUCUGGACAGUGACUGACGCUGAGACGCGAAAGCGUGGGGAGCAAACAGGAUUGGAUACCCUGGUAGUCCACGCCGUAAACGAUGAGUGCUAGGUGUCACGGGCUUUGACCCUCGUGGUGCCGAAGCUAACGCGUUAAGCACUCCGCCUGGGGAGUACGGUCGCAAGACUAAAACUCAAAGGAAUUGUCGGGGGCCCGUACAAGCGGUGGAGCAUGUUGUUUAAUUCGACGCAACGCGAAGAACCUUACCUGGGCUAGAAAGUACAGGAAGUCGGUCGAAAGGUCGAUGUGCCCUUCGGGGAACCUGUGGUUAGGUGCUGCAUGGCUGUCGUCAGCUCGUGUCGUGAGAUGUUGGGUUAAGUCCCGCAACGAGCGCAACCCCUGUUGUUAGUUGCCAGCACUAAGUUGGGCACUCUAACAAGACUGCCGACCUUUAAGUCGGAGGAAGGUGGGGAUGACGUCAAGUCAUCAUGGCCCUUAUGUCCAGGGCUACAAACGUGCUACAAUGGUCGGUACAAAGGGUAGCGAACUCGCGAGAGGGAGCCAAUCUCAAAAAGCCGACCUCAGUACAGAUAGGAGUCUGCAACUCGACUCCUUGAGGUCGGAAUCGCUAGUAAUCGCUGAUCAGCAUGGCAGCGGUGAAUACGUUCCCGGGCCUUGUACACACCGCCCGUCACACCAUGGGAGUCGAUUGCUCCAGAAGUACCUGAGCCAACCGCAAGGAGGCAGGGUCCCAAGGAGUGAUCGGUAACUGGGGUGAAGUCGUAACAAGGUAGCCGUAGGGGAACCUGCGGCUG